AGGGCAGUUAUUUUAUACGUUGGGCUGCUGUGCAGAAACUGGUCCGGGUCUGGUGCCGCCAGCACAGAUGAACGACGGAGUAACUGCUUCCCGGCCUUUUGUCCUGACUGCUGGCCUCCUCUUUUGCAACAUUUGGUAUUUUUAAGUGAAGGACUUAUGAACUCAUUCUUUAAUGUGUGGUAUGUAGUUCUCCAGGUCUUAUUUGGAAGCUUCAUCAGGAAGUACUAUUUCAACAACCUAACUCAAGUGACACUCUGGCCAUGUUCAUUUGACUCCUGAGCAUCAAGAGGACCCAACACACAAGGACAUUUGUUCGAUCUCAUUGGAUAAAAAACAAAAAAACAACAAAAAAAAAACCUAACAGACUCACUCUUAAGCACCUCUUAAGAAUUCACAGCUUUGUAACCAACUUGGGUCCUAUCUUUAAUAAUCUGUUGCUGAGUUUCAGGCUUGUAAUGUGUUCUCUGCUUAAUUUCCUUGCCAGCAGCUAUGGUCUUAUAGAAUCUCUGUGAUCAGAAAUGCCAUACAUUGCCACCAACACAAAGAAUAAGAAGGAAGUAUUGCAUCUAUAGAAAAAUACAAAAGAAAUGCAUCAACUUGUGGAUAAGAUGACCACCUAAAAGCCAUGUUGGAAACAGUAACUAGUUAUGGAAACAAAAGGAACAGAAAUAAUACCUUACUUCAUCAGCUUCUUGUAUAGUUCUCAGAAUCCACUGAUCAAGCCCCAAUCGACUUCCUCUACCAUGGACUAGACUUGUUGCUGGGACUAUUACCAACACCACAAUGCAUAAUGUGGCAGGCUAAAAGACCUCCUCCAGGAAAUUUUAAAAAGCUGCUCUAAUAGGGAGUUUACAGAAGAGUCUCCAGUGAUUCCUGCAGAAACUGUCAUAAGCACUCUGACAGUAAUGGGAGAAUGGGAUUAAGUACAAGCUCUGAACAGGUGUUAGAAACUGCAUAGCACAGUCUCCAGGGUUAAGCAGAAUUUGCCUGAGCUACCCCAAGUUUUUAGAUCAGUCAAGUUAGAAAACUCAAAACAGAAGUGGAGAUGAGGCUCUUUAAAAGAAUAGUACUGGUAAAGAACAACAGAAUAUAUAUCAUGAAACAAACAGGAUAACCUAGAAGACCAUAAAUUAAGGCAGCAGAUCACUGAUUAGUAUAAAUCUAGUAAGGUCUGUAUUUUUAGGUUCCUUUCCUUUAGGGGCAGAUUGAAGCUGGCAGAAUCUUUGAUGUUGGAGAAAUUGUCCUCAUCCAGAAAGGUUCUUUUUUCCAGUGUUUUUUAGUUAAUUUAGUGACAAAGUAUAAGACAAUAAGUGUCUAUGUAGUGCUCAGUCAGAAAUCGGGUAUCUAUAUCCCAAUUUCUCUCCCCAAAGGCUCAGGGAACAUCGCGGAAGAGGAGGCGGAAAGAUUGUAAGAGCCAGAGGCGGGGAGGACAGCUGAGAGAAACUGUCAUUUGCACAUGGCAAGAAUUUUCACUUAGGAACUUAGAGCAGUUGUGGUUCCCAGAACAAGAUUCGCUUAGGCAACAUGUAAUGGGGCAAGGGCUCAGGAGGCCAGAUGAACAGCUAAAGAGCUAUGUAGCUGUAGGAUGGAAUGCCCGUUUUGCUCAGGAAUGUGGCACAUUGUUAGGUAUGCCUUAGUUUUUGACCCUACAUUCAUGUACCUACAUUCAGUACUAAUAGGACUCAACACUAUUGAAAAAAGUAUAUACAAACUAAAAGGAUAAAAUCGUGGGACUGUGAAGACCUAGGAGAGGCUAAGGAGAACAGCUUGGAGCUGUGUUUUAUUAAAAAAUUAUAUUGUGCUUACUAC